GAUGAACGCUGGCGGCGUGCUUAACACAUGCAAGUCGAACGAUGAAGCCCAGCUUGCUGGGUGGAUUAGUGGCGAACGGGUGAGUAACACGUAAGUAACCUGCCCUUAACUCUGGGAUAAGCCUGGGAAACUGGGUCUAAUACCGGAUAGGAGCGUCCACCGCAUGGUGGGUGUUGGAAAGAUUUAUCGGUUUUGGAUGGACUCGCGGCCUAUCAGCUUGUUGGUGAGGUAAUGGCUCACCAAGGCGACGACGGGUAGCCGGCCUGAGAGGGUGACCGGCCACACUGGGACUGAGACACGGCCCAGACUCCUACGGGAGGCAGCAGUGGGGAAUAUUGCACAAUGGGCGCAAGCCUGAUGCAGCGACGCCGCGUGAGGGAUGACGGCCUUCGGGUUGUAAACCUCUUUCAGUAGGGAAGAAGCGAAAGUGACGGUACCUGCAGAAGAAGCACCGGCUAACUACGUG
rnacentral:rRNA from 1 species